UCCGGUUUGACACCGGCAGUCUCCCUAGAGUGCCCGGCAUAACCCGCUGGUAACUAGGGACGAGGGUUGCGCUCGUUGCGGGACUUAACCCAACAUCUCACGGCACGAGCUGACGACAGCCAUGCAGCACCUUGCACUCUGUCUGGUUUUACCCAAAAGGCCCUAUCUCUAAGGUUGUCAGAGGCAUUCUAGCCCAGGUAAGGUUCUUCGCGUUGCGUCGAAUUAAACCACAUGCUCCACCGCUUGUGCGGGUCCCCGUCAAUUCCUUUGAGUUUUAGCCUUGCGGCCGUACUCCCCAGGCGGAGUGCUUACUGCGUUAGCUACGGCACCACAGGGGUCAAAGCCCGUGACACCUAGCACUCAUCGUUUACGGCGUGGACUAC
rnacentral:misc_RNA from 1 species